AUGAUUCCCUAGUAACGGCGAGUGAAGCGGGAAAAGCUCAAAUUUGAAAUCUCCUGGCUUUGUCAGGCGAAUUGUAGUUUAAAGAAUCUUUUUCGGGGACAGGCGGGGUAUAAGUCCUUUGGAACAAGGCAUCGUAGAGGGUGACAAUCCCGUUCACGAUCCCGCCAUUGGCCCUAUGUGAUAAGAUUUCAAAGAGUCGGGUUGUUUGGGAAUGCAGCCCUAAAUGGGUGGUAAAUACCAUCUAAAGCUAAAUAUUGGCGAGAGACCGAUAGCGAACAAGUACCGUGAGGGAAAGAUGAAAAGAACUUUGAAAAGAGAGUUAAAUAGUACGUGAAAUUGUCAAUAGUGAACGGUUUAGAACUAUUGUUUGUCCUGGGAAAAUCAAUUGGUCCAAGCGGCCAGUGCACUUUUCCUCGGACAGGUCAACAUCAGUUUGGCUCGGGAUAAAAAGCUCCAUGCGCCUCGGCAAGUGGAGUGCUGUCCCGGACCGGACUGAGGACUGCAGCACAGUCAUAGGAUAGCCAGUCGCCUCAGUGCGUACGGAUGUAAACAGCAUGCUGAUUGCGUCUAGUGCGGAUGGAGCCCGGCGGGUGAUUUCUCUCCUGUCGCUUAGGAUGUUGACGAAAUGGUUUUAAGCCACCCGUCUUGAAACACGGACCAAGGAGUCUAACAUAUCUGCGAGUUUUUGGGUGCCAAACCCAUAAGCGCAAUGAAAGUGAAUAAGAUGGGAUCCUCGGAGCACCAUCGACCGGUCUGGAUUUUUUUGAUAGAUCUGAGUUAGAGCAUAUAUGUUAGGACCCGAAAGAUGGUGAACUAAGCCUGAAUAGGGUGAAGCCAGAGGAAACUCUGGUGGAAGCUCGUAGCGGUUCUGACGUGCAAAUCGAUCGUCGAAUUUGGGUUAGGGCGAAAGACUAAUCG
rnacentral:rRNA from 1 species